rnacentral:misc_RNA from 1 species
GCAAACUUGGUCAUUUAGAGGAAGUAAAAGUCGUAACAAGGUCUCCGUUGGUGAACCAGCGGAGGGAUCAUUAAGAGUUACACAACUCCCUAAAACCCUCUGUGAAACAUACCUAUAUCGUUGCUUCGGCAGGCGGCCCCAGGGCGGGGUCCUCGGCCAUAUGGCGCCUGCCGGAGGUUUUAAACUCUCCUGUUUUACACUCUGGCCUCUCUGAGAAACAAGAAAAUAAGUAAAAACUUUCAACAACGGAUCUCUUGGUUCUGGCAUCGAUGAAGAACGCAGC